AUGAAAGGCAAGCUCCGAGCGGGGACGAGGGAUAUAAACAAGCUAAAAGCCGCCCACAGGAGAGCUUUUACACCAGAUAACCAAUUAUAUUACCAUUUACCAGCCAAUGAUACAAAAGAGUUAGGCCCCUACCAGUCAACCAGCACCAGCCAGCGAUGCCGUGAAAACCCGGACAAGCCAGGAGCCAGUUAAAGAUAAAGGUUGGCAGAAGGAGUCGAGUUGUAUGCACUAUAACCUGCUUAGUGGUUGGAGUGGGGAAACAACUGACACCCUCCAGAGACCAGCAUAACCAAAUACCAGGAACUGACUGCACCUCCACUAAGACGCCAGAAACGAUGCUCACCCCUUCCCUGCAAGUGUUUACACUCAUCAAGGGUCCCGGGUAAUUGUCACGCGCGAUCUGACGAUUCCAAAGCGAAUGUUUGUCUCUGUGUGGCGACAUGGAAGAAAAGGAGGAGAAGGAGGAACAGGGAUG